GACGAACGCUGGCGGCGUGCUUAACACAUGCAAGUCGAACGGAAAGGCCCUGCUUUUGUGGGGUGCUCGAGUGGCGAACGUGUGUGUAACACGUGAGUAACCUGCCCUUGACUUUGGGAUAACUUCAGGAAACUGGGGCUAAUACCGGAUAGGAGCUCCUGCUGCAUGGUGGGGGUUGGAAAGUUUCGGCGGUUGGGGAUGGACUCGCGGCUUAUCAGCUUGUUGGUGGGGUAGUGGCUUACCAAGGCUUUGACGGGUAGCCGGCCUGAGAGGGUGACCGGCCACAUUGGGACUGAGAUACGGCCCAGACUCCUACGGGAGGCAGCAGUGGGGAAUAUUGCACAAUGGGCGGAAGCCUGAUGCAGCAACGCCGCGUGCGGGAUGACGGCCUUCGGGUUGUAAACCGCUUUCGCCUGUGACGAAGCGUGAGUGACGGUAAUGGGUAAAGAAGCACCGGCUAACUACGUG
rnacentral:rRNA from 1 species